GGUUGAUCCUGCCAGUAGUCAUAUGCUUGUCUCAAAGAUUAAGCCAUGCAUGUCUAAGUAUAAACGAGAUUAUACAGUGAGACUGCGGAUGGCUCAUUAAAUCAGUUAUAGUUUAUUUGAUGGUUCAUUUUCACCACUUGGAUAACCGUGGUAAUCCUAGAGCUAAUACAUGCAUAAAACCUCGACUGGAGGAGAAGUGGAUGAAUCAUUAUUUAUAGUGAUUUAAUUGCUUCAAUAGCCUCCGGAAGGGGCGUAUUUAUUAGGUACAAAACCGGCGCAAGGUAUUCCAAAC
rnacentral:rRNA from 1 species